rnacentral:rRNA from 1 species
GACGAACGCUGGCGGCGUGCUUAACACAUGCAAGUCGAACGGAAAGGCGCUGCUUUUGUUUGGUUCUCGAGUGGCGAACGGGUGAGUAACACGUGAGUAACCUGCCCUUGACUGUGGGAUAACUUUAGGAAACUGGGGCUAAUACCGGAUAGGAGCUCCUGCUGCAUGGUGGGGGUUGGAAAGUUUCGGCGGUUGGGGAUGGACUCGCGGCUUAUCAGCUUGUUUGUGGGGUAGGGGCUUACCAAGGCUUUGACGGGUAGCCGGCCUGAGAGGGUGACCGGCCACAUUGGGACUGAGAUACGGACCAGACUGCUACGGGAGGCAGCGGUGGGGAAUAUUGCACAAUGGGCGGAAGCCUGAUACAGCAACGUCGCGUGCGGGAUGACGGCCUUCGGGUUGUAAACAGCUUUCGACUGUGACGAAGAGUGAGUGACGGUAAUGGGUAAAGAAGCACCGGCUAACUACGUG